ACAGGAAGCAGCUUGCUGCUUCGCUGACGAGUGGCGGACGGGUGAGUAAUGUCUGGGAAGCUGCCUGAUGGAGGGGGAUAACUACUGGAAACGGUAGCUAAUACCGCAUAAUGUCGCAAGACCAAAGAGGGGGACCUUCGGGCCUCUUGCCAUCGGAUGUGCCCAGAUGGGAUUAGCUUGUUGGUGGGGUAACGGCUCACCAAGGCGACGAUCCCUAGCUGGUCUGAGAGGAUGACCAGCCACACUGGAACUGAGACACGGUCCAGACUCCUACGGGAGGCAGCAGUGGGGAAUAUUGCACAAUGGGCGCAAGCCUGAUGCAGCCAUGCCGCGUGUAUGAAGAAGGCCUUCGGGUUGUAAAGUACUUUCAGCGGGGAGGAAGGGAGUAAAGUUAAUACCUUUGCUCAUUGACGUUACCCGCAGAAGAAGCACCGGCUAACUCCGUGCCAGCAGCCGCGGUAAUACGGAGGGUGCAAGCGUUAAUCGGAAUUACUGGGCGUAAAGCGCACGCAGGCGGUUUGUUAAGUCAGAUGUGAAAUCCCCGGGCUCAACCUGGGAACUGCAUCUGAUACUGGCAAGCUUGAGUCUCGUAGAGGGGGGUAGAAUUCCAGGUGUAGCGGUGAAAUGCGUAGAGAUCUGGAGGAAUACCGGUGGCGAAGGCGGCCCCCUGGACGAAGACUGACGCUCAGGUGCGAAAGCGUGGGGAGCAAACAGGAUUAGAUACCCUGGUAGUCCACGCCGUAAACGAUGUCGACUUGGAGGUUGUGCCCUUGAGGCGUGGCUUCCGGAGCUAACGCGUUAAGUCGACCGCCUGGGGAGUACGGCCGCAAGGUUAAAACUCAAAUGAAUUGACGGGGGCCCGCACAAGCGGUGGAGCAUGUGGUUUAAUUCGAUGCAACGCGAAGAACCUUACCUGGUCUUGACAUCCACGGAAGUUUUCAGAGAUGAGAAUGUGCCUUCGGGAACCGUGAGACAGGUGCUGCAUGGCUGUCGUCAGCUCGUGUUGUGAAAUGUUGGGUUAAGUCCCGCAACGAGCGCAACCCUUAUCCUUUGUUGCCAGCGGUCCGGCCGGGAACUCAAAGGAGACUGCCAGUGAUAAACUGGAGGAAGGUGGGGAUGACGUCAAGUCAUCAUGGCCCUUACGACCAGGGCUACACACGUGCUACAAUGGCGCAUACAAAGAGAAGCGACCUCGCGAGAGCAAGCGGACCUCAUAAAGUGCGUCGUAGUCCGGAUUGGAGUCUGCAACUCGACUCCAUGAAGUCGGAAUCGCUAGUAAUCGUGGAUCAGAAUGCCACGGUGAAUACGUUCCCGGGCCUUGUACACACCGCCCGUCACACCAUGGGAGUGGGUUGCAAAAGAAGUAGGUAGCUUAACCUUCGGGAGGGCGCUUACCACUUUGUGAUUCAUGACUGGGGUGAAGUCGAAACAAGGUA
rnacentral:rRNA from 1 species